AGGAUAAACGCUGGCGGCGUGCCUAACACAUGCAAGUCGAACGCGCUUUCCUCUUCGGAGGGGAGCAAGUGGCGGACGGGUGAGUAACACAUGGGUACCUACCCCACAGUGAGGGAUACCGGCGAGAAAUCGCCGACAAUACCGCAUACGCUUCCCGGUGGAGACAGCGGGAAGCAAAGUUGCGCAAGCGACGCUGAGGGAUGGGCCUGUGGCCGAUUAGCUAGUUGGCGGGGUAAUGGCCCACCAAGACGAUGAUCUGUA
rnacentral:rRNA from 1 species